AGCUUGGGAGGGUGGAGAUGAGCAGGGACGAAAAGCUGAGGCGCUCCCGCUACUGGGGUGUUCCCAGGACAAGCUGAUGGAUGGGCAUGCUCAUCCUUCUCUACGACAGGCACAGAAAAUGUGAGCAGAGUGCCCACCGGCUUUCCUUUGGAGGUGGCAGGGGUGAAACGCCCUGCCCGGAUUUCUCUGGCACAAGAAAUGGUCCUUAGCCACACUGGCAUGGAGACCAGAGAGGAAGGGAGGAGUGAAGAGAGCUCUGAAGUCGUUUCAAUCUCCGUGUGGCCGGGAGCUCUUGCCAGCAGGCUCACCUCUAAGCCGACACCACCACUGUCUGGCAACCUCCAUCCAUGAGCUGCAGCCCCGGCCACCUCUCAGUUCCUGCCUACCACAGUGGUGUGCACCUAUGAGUGAUGUUGCUACAUGGUUUUCAGCCAUGCUUUCCUGGAGGUGACAUCUCAGGCUAGGAGGGCAGCAGCCUGUCCCCAAGGUUUGAGGGGAAGCCCAGCGGUCAGCUCAGGGGGCCUCAGAAGCAGCCCUUGGAGAUAGCCACAGACCCAUGAGGUGGGUGACAGGUGCCGUUGAACUGGGACCAGCCAGGCAAGCAGCCGGAGCCAUGAUAGGUCAGGAGGAAGAGCAGGCAUGACCAGGGCUGGCGGGAGGGGAGGAGGCUGCAUGGAGGAGGUAGGUCUACACAUUGGAGGAGGAAGCAAAGAGGAAGUGGCCACCGGGAGGGAGGAAGAGUACCCUGGAGGAAGAAGGAGGAGUUGGCCGGCCUGUAAUCCCAGCACUUUGGGAGGCCAAGGCAGGCGGAUCACGAGGUCAAGAGAUCGAGACCAUCCUGGCCAACAUGGUGAAACCCCGUCUCUACUAAAAAAUACAAAAAAUUAGCUGGGUUGGUGGCGCACGCCUGUGGUCCCAGCUACUCGGGAGGCUGAAGCAGGAGAAUCACUUGAAUCCGGGAGGUGGAGGUUGCAGUGAGCCGAGAUCAUGCCACUGCACUCCAGCCUGGCAACAGAGCAAGACUGCAUCUCAAAAAAAAAAGAAGGAGGAGUCAGGGCAAGAGUGCCUGCACCUUCCUGAGAAGCAUCGGAGCCCAGGGCUGGGGCAGGGAAGGUACCAGAUGUGGCUGGAGCAUCAAGUAGGGCCAGAAAGUCAGGACGAGCUCAAAAAAGAGGGGACUGUGGAGAAGAUGUGGGAGCCAGCUGGAAGUAACUCCCAGGAGUCAAAACUGGAACAGUCCAGCAACACAUCCAGGUACAUUAUACUAUUGGGUUUUAGCUCAUCAAAUAAAAUAAAUAUCCAUUAAUCCAUACUGAUAUAAAUAACUGAUUGCAUAAGUAAAUGGGGAAGAAGGGACCAUUUUUCCUUCGAGAGGAGUUCCCUUUAAUGAAAGUGGAAGGAACCAGGGAAACAGCAAAUCACCAUCUGAACACCACAGGAACAACUGCUGCAGGCAAGACCCACCGAUGGAUGCUCGGACUCGUAGGAGAAAGUUUAAGGAGAAACAAGAGUUGCACAGAUGCAAAGCAUUUCCCCCAAUACCUAUCAAUUACAAAGGGGAAAAUAAUAACUUUAUAAUGGAGAAAGCUGGCAAACACCACUGUAACCAAUAGGUCAAGGUCAGUGUUACCAGUAAUAAGCCACACUGACAUCAUGUACUUCCUGAUAUGAUGCACUGAGAAUGACACAUCAUCACUCCUGGGGUAGUUUUUCCAAUAAUGCAUAACCUCAAUCUAAUUAUGAGAAAAUAUCAGACCCAAAUUGAGCAACAUAUUGCACAAUACCUGACCAGGACUGUUCACAGAUAUCAAGGUCAUGAAAGACAAAGAAAGGCCGAGGAACUGACGACUAAAGGCAAUGUGAGACCUGGAAAUGAGAAAGAACAUUGAUCAGGGAUCAGCAAACUACAGUCUAUGGGCCAACUCUGGCCCUCUGCCAGCUCUUGUAAAUAAAGUUUUAUUGGAAUUCAGCCAUGCUCAUUUGUCUUUCUGUCUUUCUUUCUUUCUUUCUUUUUCUUUCUUUCUUUCUCUUUCAUCUUUCUCUUUUUUCUCUUUCCUUUCUUCCUUUUUUCUUUCCUUUCCUUCCUUUCUUUCUUUCUUUCUGACAGAGCCUCACUCUGUCACCUAGGCUGGAGUGCACUGGUGCAAUCACAGCUCACUGUAGCCUUGACCUCCCUGGCUCAAGUGAUCCUCCUGCCUCAGCGUCACAA
rnacentral:lncRNA from 1 species